rnacentral:lncRNA from 10 species
CCGCGGUAUAAGGUCGUCCCAUCCUGAAUGGCCGGUGCGCAGACUCAAUUGCGACUUUGAGGCUGUCAGCCGCCACCCGGCAACCUUCCAGUGAACAGGAUUCUGGGUUUCUCAAAGCUGUAAUUGGAGGGCCACUCCAGAGGUGUUAAAGCUCCAGCACUUCGAGCCUGCCUCGUGGGAAAGUCUUAGGCUGAGUCUGUAGGUGUCUGCAGUUAAGAAGCCAGCGGUCUGCAUAUGAUUGCUCAGGGGUGGUGGCUGGGUCCAACAGCAUUCACUACAGGCCUGCCUUGAAUACCACCUAGCGCAGUGCUCCGCAUAUCACAGGGGCUGGAAACCUAACAAUUUCACUUCCUAGACAACUUGCUAAAAGUCACCUAAAGACAGUCUGGUUACUGCCAAAGAUAUGCUUUCAAAUAAGAUUUGGAUAAAGAAGGGAGGUAGAUGCCUUUUUUCAGCAGUGGAGUGAUGUCUAGACCAGUAGAUGUACGCAUCUAAGUGAAUUCAUCACCAGCAACAAUUUCCAGAAACUUCCUGACCUCCAGAUUGCAGCUUCAUUAGUG